rnacentral:rRNA from 1 species
UACGUAGGUGGCAAGUGUUAUCCGGAAUUAUUGGGCGUAAAGGAUGCGUAGACUGUAUAAUAAGUCAAUGGUGGAAGUCAGGCUCAACCUGAAAAAAGCUGUUGAUACUGUUAUGCUAGAGUGCAGGAGAGGUUGAUGGAAUUCCAUGUGGAGCGGUGAAAUGCUUAGAUAUAUGGAGGAACACCAAUAAAGGCGAAGGCAGUCAACUAUUCUGACACUGACGUUGAGGCAUGAAAGCGUGGGGAGCAAAUAGG